rnacentral:tRNA from 1 species
GGAGAGGUGCUCGAGUGGUUGAAGAGGCGCGCCUGGAAAGCUCGUAUACGUCUCAAGCGUAUCAGGGGUUCGAAUCCCCUUCUCUCCGCAA